GUGGGGAAUAUUGGACAAUGGGCGAAAGCCUGAUCCAGCCAUGCCGCGUGAGUGAUGAAGGCCUUAGGGUUGUAAAGCUCUUUCAGUGGGGAAGAUAAUGACGGUACCCACAGAAGAAGCCCCGGCUAACUUCGUGCCAGCAGCCGCGGUAAUACGAAGGGGGCUAGCGUUGUUCGGAUUUACUGGGCGUAAAGCGCACGUAGGCGGAUCGUUAAGUCGGGGGUGAAAUCCCGGGGCUCAACCCCGGAACUGCCUUCGAUACUGGCGAUCUUGAGUCCGGAAGAGGUGAGUGGAACUCCUAGUGUAGAGGUGGAAUUCGUAGAUAUUAGGAAGAACACCAGUGGCGAAGGCGGCUCACUGGUCCGGUACUGACGCUGAGGUGCGAAAGCGUGGGGAGCAAACAGGAUUAGAAACCCGGGUAGUCC
rnacentral:rRNA from 1 species